UCAUGGUUAAGCCUGCAGACCCUGAAAACAGAACUGACCUGACAGGCUUGCCUGAUGAGGACAAAGACCGGGAGCACAAGAAGAGCAGCAAGGAUGAGCACAGUGAGGAGAGUGAUGAUUCUAAAGCUGCUAAAGACAUUGAGGAUGGUGAAAACGGUGACACCAGCAACGUUAGCAAAGAUGAUCAGUUCAGGAAGGUCGAGCAGAAUCAUCAGUACACUGAAGACAGCGAAAAGGAGCAAAGCAAGAAGAAAAAGAAGAAGAAGAACUGCUUCCAACGCAUCUUGUCUCGGAUGAAGAAGACGUUCUGCUGCUGCUGUGUGUCUGAUGUGAUGGACUGAGCAGCACCAAUGGCCUGCAGUCACAUUUCACUCUCACAGGCAGAAGGCCGCCCUCUCAGAGCCUGGUUCUGCCGGAGGUUUCUUCCCAUUUCAACAGGUGAUUGGCCGUGAUGAAGAGACGUCAGAUUGUACAGAACGGUGUUAUGGAGCUGACAUUAUGGAGCUGCGGUUCCUGGCCUCACCUGCCUUGAAGUUCUAUCUACUGUCCUGUUCUCUCUCUCCUUUCCCCUCACCCCAACCGGUCGAGGCAGAUGGCCGCCCUGUCUGAGCCUGGUUCUGCCGGAGGGUUCUUCCUGAAAAAGGGAGUUUUACCUCCCCACUGUCGCCAAGUGCUUGCUCAGACGGGAAUCCAAAGGAAAUUAUGGAUUUGUUGGGUUUCUCUCUAUAAUUUUGUCUUUACUUUUCUCAUUUAAGUGUCUUGACAUGACACAUUUGAACUGUAAAUAAAAUUUAUUGAAACUGA